rnacentral:rRNA from 1 species
GACGUAGGUGGCGAACGUUAUCCGGAAUUAUUGGGCGUAAAGGGUGCGCAGAUGGUCUGACAAGUUAGCAGUGGCAAAUCGAGGCUCAACCUCGUGGAAACUGGUAAUACUGUCUGACUCGAGUACAGGAGAGGUUAACGGAACUCCAUGUGGAGCGGUAAAAUGUGUAGAUAUAUGGAGGACCACCAAAAAAGGCGAAGGCAGCCAACUAUUCUAUUCCUGACACUGAGGCAUGAAAGCGUGGGGAGCAAACCGG